UCGAAUAGUCGCGUAUAGCAAGGUCGAAAGACAGCGUACGAGGAAAGUCCGGGCUCCACAGAGCAAUGAUGCUGGAUAACGUCCAGUGAGGGUAACCUUAAGGAAAGUGCAACAGAAAAGUACCGCCUGCUAGAAGUUAAAGGCUUCUAGUUUGGUAAGGGUGAAAAGGCGAGGUAAGAGCUCACCGCUGGUAUGGUGACAUAUUGGGUCAGUGUAAACCCCAUCAGGAGCAACACCGAGCCAAGAAGGUUAAUGGCUGCUCGCCAGUCUUCUUAUAUUGGUGGCAAGAUGCAUAUAGCAAUAUAUGUACUAGAUAGAUGACUAUUCAAGACAGAACCCGGCUUAUAGAUUUACUUU
rnacentral:RNase_P_RNA from 1 species